rnacentral:lncRNA from 1 species
GUAAAACCUAAGACUUGCAGCCAAGCCAAUCACCAUCUCUCAUUUCUCCAUCAUCAUGCAAAUGGAUGACUAUUGGGUAACAUACAUCUGAAUAAAAGCUUCACACUCUCUGCUUUGUCCCAUGUUCACAGUGAGUUAUCACUGACAUGGAAUGAAUUCCAUAAAUGGAAUUCAGUCAAGUUCCAUCUCUAAACACCAGGUCUGAGGAGACUUCUUAAAUGUAAGUCAUUUGGGUAUUAUUAAUAUAUACAUUAGUGAAGAUUUUUCUGCAUUCAAACA